rnacentral:rRNA from 1 species
AACGAACGCUGGCGGCAGGCCUAACACAUGCAAGUCGAGCGAGAUCUUCGGGUCUAGCGGCGGACGGGUGAGUAACGCGUGGGAAUAUGCCUCUUGGUACGGAAUAGCCUCGGGAAACUGGGAGUAAUACCGUAUGUGCUAUUUGGGGGAAAGAUUUAUCGCUAAGAGAUUAGCCCGCGUUGGAUUCGGUAGUUGGUGGUGUAAUGGCCUACCAAGACGACGAUCCAUAGCUGGUUUGAGAGGAUGAUCAGCCACACUGGGACUGAGACACGGCCCAGACUCCGACGGGAGGCAGCAGUGGGGAAUCUUAUACAAUGGGGGCAACCCUGAUCAAGCCAUGCCGCGUGAGUGAUGAAGGCCUUAGGGUUGUAAAGCUCUUUCAGCUGGGAAGAUAAUGACGGUACCAGCAGAAGAAGCCCCGGCUAACUCCGUG